CCUAAUUGCAAGUCGAGCGGAGAAGGGAGCUUGCUCCCGGAUGUUAGCGGCGGACUGAGUAACACGUGGGUAACCUGCCUGUAAGACUGGGAUACUCCGGGAAACCGGAGCUAAUACCGGAUAGUUCCUUGAACCGCAUGGUUCAAGGAUGAAAGACGGUUUCGGCUGUCACUUACAGAUGGACCCGCGGCGCAUUAGCUAGUUGGKGGGGUAAUGGCUCACCAAGGCGACGAUGCGUAGCCGACCUGAGAGGGUGAUCGGCCACACUGGGACUGAGACACGGCCCAGACUCCUACGGGAGGCAGCAGUAGGGAAUCUUCCGCAAUGGACGAAAGUCUGACGGAGCAACGCCGCGUGAGUGAUGAAGGUUUUCGGAUCGUAAAGCUCUGUUGUUAGGGAAGAACAAGUGCGAGAGUAACUGCUCGCACCUUGACGGUACCUAACCAGAAAGCCACGGCUAACUACGUGCCAGCAGCCGCGGUAAUACGUAGGUGGCAAGCGUUGUCCGGAAUUAUUGGGCGUAAAGGGCUCGCAGGCGGUUUCUUAAGUCUGAUGUGAAAGCCCCCGGCUCAACCGGGGAGGGUCAUUGGAAACUGGGAAACUUGAGUGCAGAAGAGGAGAGUGGAAUUCCACGUGUAGCGGUGAAAUGCGUAGAGAUGUGGAGGAACACCAGUGGCGAAGGCGACUCUCUGGUCUGUAACUGACGCUGAGGAGCGAAAGCGUGGGGAGCGAACAGGAUUAGAUACCCUG
rnacentral:rRNA from 1 species